rnacentral:rRNA from 1 species
UUAAGUUAUUAAGGGCGCACGGUGGAUGCCUUGGCACUAGAAGCCGAUGAAGGACGUUACUAACGACGAUAUGCUUUGGGGAGCUGUAAGUAAGCUUUGAUCCAGAGAUUUCCGAAUGGGGAAACCCAGCAUGAGUUAUGUCAUGUUAUCGAUAUGUGAAUACAUAGCAUAUCAGAAGGCACACCCGGAGAACUGAAACAUCUUAGUACCCGGAGGAAGAGAAAGAAAAUUCGAUUCCCUUAGUAGCGGCGAGCGAAACGGGAAGAGCCCAAACCAACAAGCUUGCUUGUUGGGGUUGUAGGACACUCUAUACGGAGUUACAAAGGACGACAUUAGACGAAUCAUCUGGAAAGAUGAAUCAAAGAAGGUAAUAAUCCUGUAGUCGAAAAUGUUGUCUCUCUUGAGUGGAUCCUGAGUACGACGGAGCACGUGAAAUUCCGUCGGAAUCUGGGAGGACCAUCUCCUAAGGCUAAAUACUCUCUAGUGACCGAUAGUGAACCAGUACCGUGAGGGAAAGGUGAAAAGCACCCCGGAAGGGGAGUGAAAUAGAACCUGAAACCGUGUGCUUACAAGUAGUCAGAGCCCGUUAAUGGGUGAUGGCGUGCCUUUUGUAGAAUGAACCGGCGAGUUACGAUUUGAUGCAAGGUUAAGCAGUAAAUGUGGAGCCGUAGCGAAAGCGAGUCUGAAUAGGGCGUUUAGUAUUUGGUCGUAGACCCGAAACCAGGUGAUCUACCCUUGGUCAGGUUGAAGUUCAGGUAACACUGAAUGGAGGACCGAACCGACUUACGUUGAAAAGUGAGCGGAUGAACUGAGGGUAGCGGAGAAAUUCCAAUCGAACCUGGAGAUAGCUGGUUCUCUCCGAAAUAGCUUUAGGGCUAGCCUCAAGUGAUGAUUAUUGGAGGUAGAGCACUGUUUGGACGAGGGGCCCCUCUCGGGUUACCGAAUUCAGACAAACUCCGAAUGCCAAUUAAUUUAACUUGGGAGUCAGAACAUGGGUGAUAAGGUCCGUGUUCGAAAGGGAAACAGCCCAGACCACCAGCUAAGGUCCCAAAAUAUAUGUUAAGUGGAAAAGGAUGUGGCGUUGCCCAGACAACUAGGAUGUUGGCUUAGAAGCAGCCAUCAUUUAAAGAGUGCGUAAUAGCUCACUAGUCGAGUGACACUGCGCCGAAAAUGUACCGGGGCUAAACAUAUUACCGAAGCUGUGGAUUGUCCUUUGGACAAUGGUAGGAGAGCGUUCUAAGGGCGUUGAAGCAUGAUCGUAAGGACAUGUGGAGCGCUUAGAAGUGAGAAUGCCGGUGUGAGUAGCGAAAGACGGGUGAGAAUCCCGUCCACCGAUUGACUAAGGUUUCCAGAGGAAGGCUCGUCCGCUCUGGGUUAGUCGGGUCCUAAGCUGAGGCCGACAGGCGUAGGCGAUGGAUAACAGGUUGAUAUUCCUGUACCACCUAUAAUCGUUUUAAUCGAUGGGGGGACGCAGUAGGAUAGGCGAAGCGUGCGAUUGGAUUGCACGUCUAAGCAGUAAGGCUGAGUAUUAGGCAAAUCCGGUACUCGUUAAGGCUGAGCUGUGAUGGGGAGAAGACAUUGUGUCUUCGAGUCGUUGAUUUCACACUGCCGAGAAAAGCCUCUAGAUAGAAAAUAGGUGCCCGUACCGCAAACCGACACAGGUAGUCAAGAUGAGAAUUCUAAGGUGAGCGAGCGAACUCUCGUUAAGGAACUCGGCAAAAUGACCCCGUAACUUCGGGAGAAGGGGUGCUCUUUAGGGUUAACGCCCAGAAGAGCCGCAGUGAAUAGGCCAAGCGACUGUUUAUCAAAAACACAGGUCUCUGCUAAACCGUAAGGUGAUGUAUAGGGGCUGACGCCUGCCCGGUGCUGGAAGGUUAAGAGGAGUGGUUAGCUUCUGCGAAGCUACGAAUCGAAGCCCAGUAAACGGCGGCCGUAACUAUAACGGUCCUAAGGUAGCGAAAUUCCUUGUCGGGUAAGUUCCGACCCGCACGAAAGGCGUAACGAUUUGGGCACUGUCUCAACGAGAGACUCGGUGAAAUCAUAGUACCUGUGAAGAUGCAGGUUACCCGCGACAGGACGGAAAGACCCCGUGGAGCUUUACUGUAGCCUGAUAUUGAAAUUCGGCACAGCUUGUACAGGAUAGGUAGGAGCCUUUGAAACGUGAGCGCUAGCUUACGUGGAGGCGCUGGUGGGAUACUACCCUAGCUGUGUUGGCUUUCUAACCCGCACCACUUAUCGUGGUGGGAGACAGUGUCAGGCGGGCAGUUUGACUGGGGCGGUCGCCUCCUAAAAGGUAACGGAGGCGCUCAAAGGUUCCCUCAGAAUGGUUGGAAAUCAUUCAUAGAGUGUAAAGGCAUAAGGGAGCUUGACUGCGAGACCUACAAGUCGAGCAGGGUCGAAAGACGGACUUAGUGAUCCGGUGGUUCCGCAUGGAAGGGCCAUCGCUCAACGGAUAAAAGCUACCCCGGGGAUAACAGGCUUAUCUCCCCCAAGAGUUCACAUCGACGGGGAGGUUUGGCACCUCGAUGUCGGCUCAUCGCAUCCUGGGGCUGUAGUCGGUCCCAAGGGUUGGGCUGUUCGCCCAUUAAAGCGGUACGCGAGCUGGGUUCAGAACGUCGUGAGACAGUUCGGUCCCUAUCCGUCGUGGGCGUAGGAAAUUUGAGAGGAGCUGUCCUUAGUACGAGAGGACCGGGAUGGACAUACCUCUGGUGUACCAGUUGUCGUGCCAACGGCAUAGCUGGGUAGCUAUGUGUGGACGGGAUAAGUGCUGAAAGCAUCUAAGCAUGAAGCCCCCCUCAAGAUGAGAUUUCCCAACUUCGGUUAUAAGAUCCCUCAAAGAUGAUGAGGUUAAUAGGUUCGAGGUGGAAGCAUGGUGACAUGUGGAGCUGACGAAUACUAAUCGAUCGAAGACUUAAUCAA